rnacentral:lncRNA from 1 species
GGAUGGUCCUCAGCACGGCGGACACCAUCUUCUUCCUCCUUGUGGAUUUGACGAUUAUUCGAUCUAGAGACGGAGGGUGGGUUGGAGGACUGGAGGCGGCUGGGCUACUACUGCUCGUGUCGAGAGGAAGAAGAGGAGGAGGAUCGAUUGGAGUAGAGUUGCGGCGAUGGAAUGGAAUGGGAGGAUGGGCUGUGCGUGCGCUGGAUGAGUUGCACUGCCUCUUGCUCUCUCUCUAUUGUAUCCUGUUUGUCUGGUCUCUUGGGUUGGCAACCCGCAGCGGCUCUUCUCGGUGUUCAUAUAUAGCCGCCCGGCCGGCCGGGGGCCGCCGGGCCGGACCGGGCCGGCGCGCGCGAGGAUUCGGGAACCGGGGGACGCUGCCUGCCUGCCUG